rnacentral:rRNA from 1 species
UACGAAAGGGGCUAGCGUUGUUCGGAUUUAUUGGCCGUAAAGCGCACGCAGGCGGUUUGGUAAGUCAGGGGUGAAAUUCUGCAGCUUAACUGCGGAACUGCCUUUGAAACUGCCUUUCUAGAGUGCAUGAGGGGGGAGCGGAAUUCCGAGUGUAGAGGUGAAAUUCGUAGAUAUUCGGAGGAACACCGGUGGCGAAGGCGGCUUCCUGGCAUGUAACUGACGCUCAUGUGCGAAAGCGUGGGGAGCAAACAGG